rnacentral:rRNA from 1 species
UAUAAGUCUCCUGGAACUGGAGUAUCAAAGAGGGUGACAAUCCCGUGCUUUACACGACGACCGGUGCUAUGUGAUACGUUCUCUACGAGUCGAGUUGUUUGGGAAUGCAGCUCAAAACGGGUGGUAAACUCCAUCUAAAGCUAAAUAUUGGUGGGAGACCGAUAGCGAACAAGUACCGUGAGGGAAAGAUGAAAAGCACUUUGGAAAGAGAGUUAAACAGUAUGUGAAAUUGUUGAAAGGGAAACGAUUGAAGUCAGUCGUGUCCAUUGGGUUCAGCCGGUCCUGCCGGUCUACUCCCUUUGGACGGGUCAACAUCAGUUCUGACCGGCGGAUAAUGGCACGAGGAACGUGGCACCCUCCGGGGUGUGUUAUAGCCUCGCGUCGCAUACGCUGGUCGGGACUGAGGAAC